AGCGAACGCUGGCGGCAGGCCUAACACAUGCAAGUCGAACGAAGUCUUCGGACUUAGUGGCGGACGGGUGAGUAACACGUGGGAACGUGCCUUUAGGUUCGGAAUAACUCAGGGAAACUUGUGCUAAUACCGAAUGUGCCCUUCGGGGGAAAGAUUUCUCGCCUUUAGAGCGGCCCGCGUCUGAUUAGCUAGUUGGUGAGGUAAAGGCUCACCAAGGCUACGAUCAGUAGCUGGUCCGAGAGGAUGACCAGCCACAUUGGGACUGAGACACGGCCCAAACUCCUACGGGAGGCAGCAGUGGGGAAUCUUGCGCAAUGGGCGAAAGCCUGACGCAGCCAUGCCGCGUGGAUGAUGAAGGUCUUAGGAUUGUAAAAUCCUUUCACCGGUGAAGAUAAUGACUGUAGCCGGAGAAGAAGCCCCGGCUAACUUCGUGCCAGCCGCCGCCGUAAAAC
rnacentral:rRNA from 1 species